UCUUUUUAAUGUUAAACUAUAAUUACAGAAGCAAAGUGGUAUAUUGUGAAACAUCCCAUGCACAUAAAUGAGGCUGUCAGUGUACUUUGUGCACAACAGGAGGGAAGAGGAAGGUGGCACUGCACCCCCUGAACUGCAGAUCCCAGAGCCACAGGUAAGUGGGCCAGAAGUGGCCACAGUCCAUGCAGAAAAUAAUCACUUUAAAAGCAUAAAUUGCAAGACAGAUGUUUCACAGAGAUUAACUGUAGUUGAAGACUACAAGAACUUGAUUCUAAGCCAAGCUGGCAGCUCAGAUGUGGGAACCUACAGUGCAGGUAGCCCAACAUGGAACAACUGAUCCUGCACUCAAGAGCAACAGGCUGGAACACAGCCAGUUUCCACAGCACUUUGAAAUGUCAUUUCUCCUGACCACGAAGUCCUGCUUGGAUUCAUAUUAGUUAGGACAUUUUUUACCUAUCGUAUCUAAGGAGUAAAAACAGUGUGCACUGCUCAGUUUCUGGAAAAAAAUCUAGAAAGUAUCCACACUUUUUCAUACUGAGAAGAGCGGGUUUUGGCUAUUUUGCCCACUUAUUUUUAACCUUUUAGAAUAAGUGUGCUGUUUGUAUCCUUCAGAUUCCUGAAGACUGUCAUAUUUUUCAAGCACCUGUUCAGAAAGCCCAGCAACUGACCCCAUCCAAACCCUUGGCACAAAUGGGAUUUGAUUGCGUUGUUCCAAGUACCUUCAUGCCCCAGAGGUUCCCCUUGCCUGGAAAAUGCUUGCUUAGGUAGGUUAUUCCUUUCCAGUUGUAUCACUGCUAGGAAAUAGAAUCUUCAUCCAACUUGAAGAUGAAAGAGUCCCUCCUCCAAAGUGGAGCCCUCUACAUUCCUUUGUUCCUUAUACAAACAAAACUGCUGACUCCUUGCAAAGAAAUGGGUUGCAAUGGACUCCCUCCAUAUGUUCUAGGGAAAAAGCAAUGAAUCACAGGAGAAAGCAAAGGCUGAAGCAAGUCACACUGGAUGCUACUGUAUACAGCAUUUCAAUUAGUAUUGAUACUAUGAUUUUGUCUGUUGUUGACUGCACAAGCAUACAUAACAAAUUACUGCAAUCAGCAACUGUUGAAUAAGUGCUUCUUAUUCAUUAGCUACUCUCUGAUCUAAAACUGUAUUUUCCUAUUAGCGACUAAGCACCAUAAAUGUGCAUGAAUUCAAGUGACACGGGCAACAAGCUUACAUAACACAAGGAAAAAUCAGGAGAGCAAAAAAGAGCAGCAGUGAGUGAGCAUGUACUGAGCGGCAUCUCCCUUCACGCUCUUUCCUUUUCUUGAUUGCUGCCUGCAAAACCGGCAGUGGGAGAACUCAGUGCUGCACUGACAGCUUCGCAGCCCCCCACGAUGCUCCCCUGUAUUGUCUAGCACAGAGAGCUGAUAUGGUGAGAAGGUUCACUAAAAAACUUAGCCAAACUUUCUUAUUCUUUUCAAAGAAAGGUUAGUUCAUAACAAAACUCGGAGUCUAUUAAAAGAUGCUCAAUAAGCUCUAUAUUUUGUGUAUUCUCCAAAUGACUGUCGCAGAUGGUUUUCUGUCUGUAAGUGUGAUUUGAAAAUACUGAUCUGUCUUCCACAGAACACAUGAAAAAAUAUAGAAAGAAGUCAGUGCCAGCCACUAGAAGAGAACAGGCUCCACUGAGCAAAUUGCAGAGCUGUGGGGAGCACUCCUAUUACUCAGGGCUAAAACCCCCAGCAGCCCCAGGAAGAAGGCCGAGUGAUGUAAAAGAUGUCACCAUGGCUCCACUGAGGGACUGCAGGGCUGGGAGGGCUGCCAACUGAGGGGAAAACAAUGAACAGGAGGUAAAAAUGCUUAGUGCUGUGGCUUUCAAGUCACAUGUAAGAGAAGCCCAUAAACAAACACAUACAAAGUCCAGGUUGUCUGUGCUGAGUCCAAAGGGGCCAAGUGGCAAAGAAAGACACAUUUCCAUUGAAAUGCCACAAAAGAAACCAUGCAGAGGACAUUAUUCUUGACAGGUGAUGCUCAUUUCCAGUCCCCCCAAAACGUGCUGUCAAGAUAGUGCAUUCUGCAAUGCGUCUACAUAAGCUCAACAUCUCUGUGUGCACCAAAGCUUUGAGGAUGUAAUUCCCCAUUGUCUCCUCAAAACUUCCCAUUAUCUCAAAGGAACCAUUACACUGCAAUGGGGAGUUUAUAUCCUGACAAUCUCCAGAUGCUCAAUAGCAAAUAUGACCAUUGGCAUAGCCCUCAUCUCACUGCACAAUCCAUCACCAUGCUCAGACACACAAAGCCAGCAGGAGGUACCGCCAGCUGAGAACGAACUUUGGCAACUCCUUCCCACCGAAAUACACAUUUCAGAUUCUGGUUGUGACACUUCACCUUGAAUUCAGUCAUCGAAGCUGACUUCAAGACCCUCACUGCAGAAGCCACAACAAAUGCAGGAUUUCCCAGCCAGCCCCAGGUCUGCUGGUAGGACCUUCCACGUGUUGAGAGCGAGCAGCCAGCAUUGCCCAUCCGAAGCUCUGUAUCUCAGUAGCACUCACUGGCAAUUCUGUGAGAGCAGAACAGUGUCUGCCAGUUGCAGACAUUUCAAGCCAAGGGGACGACAAAGGCCUUGCUCACCAGUCCCUUCUUACCCACUCAGAAUGUAGGGCAGUCUUGAAUAAAUAAAUACCAUUGAUUGCUCAUUUCAAA